CAAAAACUGUGAUUACUUUUGC
rnacentral:miRNA from 1 species